rnacentral:rRNA from 1 species
CUACGGGCUGCUCCAGUGAGGAAUAUUGCACAAUGGGGGGAACCCUGAUGCGGCAACGCCGCGUGGAGGAUGACGCAUUUCGGUGUGUAAACUCCUUUUAUAUGUCAAGAAAAUGACGGUAGCAUAUGAAUAAGCACCGGCUAACUCCGUGCCAGCAGCCGCGGUAAUACGGAGGGUGCAAGCGUUACUCGGAAUCACUGGGCGUAAAGGACGCGUAGGCGGGUUGGAAAGUCAGGUGUGAAAUCCUACAGCUUAACUGUAGAACUGCACUUGAAACUUCUAAUCUAGAGUAUGGGAGGGGGAGAUGGAAUUAGUGGUGUAGGGGUAAAAUCCGUAGAUAUCACUAGGAAUACCUAAAGCGAAGGCGAUCUCCUGGAACAUUACUGACGCUAAGGCGCGAAAGCGUGGGGAGCAAACAGGAUUAGAUACCCCUGUAGUC